CCUGGGUGCAUCAGUGCCUCAAGUAGCAGCGCAGGUAUUGGAGGCUUCUACAAUAUCAUGUCUUAGAGGAGUUCUGAUUCAUUACCUCAUCUGUUGGGUUGUCGUGCCUAAUUCCAGAAAACAUGGUGUUCAUAAGGAGGUUGCAAAGACAUGCAGGGAUGGAAAGAUGUAAACAGACCUCAAGAUUUAAGCUAUAUAUAUUACCCAAACUUGAUGUUUC